rnacentral:rRNA from 1 species
AUUGAACGCUGGCGGCAUGCUUUACACAUGCAAGUCGAACGGUAACAGGCCGCAAGGUGCUGACGAGUGGCGAACGGGUGAGUAAUGUAUCGGAACGUGCCCAGUCGUGGGGGAUAACGCAGCGAAAGCUGCGCUAAUACCGCAUACGAUCUAUGGAUGAAAGCGGGGGACCGUAAGGCCUCGCGCGAUUGGAGCGGCCGAUAUCAGAUUAGGUAGUUGGUGGGGUAAAGGCUCACCAAGCCAACGAUCUGUAGCUGGUCUGAGAGGACGACCAGCCACACUGGGACUGAGACACGGCCCAGACUCCUACGGGAGGCAGCAGUGGGGAAUUUUGGACAAUGGGCGCAAGCCUGAUCCAGCAAUGCCGCGUGCAGGAAGAAGGCCUUCGGGUUGUAAACUGCUUUUGUACGGAACGAAACGGUCUGGGUUAAUACCUCGGGCUAAUGACGGUACCGUAAGAAUAAGCACCGGCUAACUACGUGCCAGCCGCCGCGGUAA